CUCAGUUGGUAGAGCACCUCGUUUACACCGAGAAGGUCUACGGUUC
rnacentral:tRNA from 1 species